rnacentral:sRNA from 1 species
CUCUGGGAGGGUCUCACGGAACUAGUGACGGCGACAGGCAACUAUGGCAACUACCGGCGUCGGCUGGCAGCCUGUGUGGGCUUCCGCUUCCCUAUCCUGGGUGUGCACCUCAAGGACCUGGUGGCCCUGCAGCUGGCACUGCCUGACUGGCUGGACCCAGCCCGGACCCGGCUCAACGGGGCCAAGAUGAAGCAGCUCUUUAGCAUCCUGGAGGAGCUGGCCAUGGUGACCAGCCUGCGGCCACCAGUACAGGCCAACCCCGACCUGCUGAGCCUGCUCACGGUGUCUCUGGAUCAGUAUCAGACGGAGGAUGAGCUGUACCAGCUGUCCCUGCAGCGGGAGCCGCGCUCCAAGUCCUCGGUGAGGGGGUACUCCCUCCUCUCCACUCUGCCCUUCCCUCCUGAGAAUCCCAGGAUGUGAGGACGGGAAGAGCUCUUAGCAGCCACCUCACCCAUCCGUCUUGUAGGACAGAGGCAUCCUGGGGGUAGGGCAGUAGUGUUGGGCAGACUUCCCUCUCCCAGGGAUUCCCCUCUCUGUUCCCCGGGGCUCUGGGCUCCCCCUGCCUCUGGCCCUAGCUCAGGCCCGACCAUUUCCAUAGCCAACCAGCCCCACGAGUUGCACCCCACCACCCCGGCCCCCGGUGCUGGAGGAGUGGACCUCGGCUGCCAAACCCAAGCUGGAUCAGGCCCUCGUGGUGGAGCACAUCGAGAAGAUGGUGGAGUCUGUGUUCCGGAACUUUGACGUCGAUGGGGAUGGCCACAUCUCACAGGAAGAAUUCCAGAUCAUCCGUGGGAACUUCCCUUACCUCAGCGCCUUUGGGGACCUCGACCAGAACCAGGAUGGCUGCAUCA